GUCCUGGUGGCGCAAUUGGCAGCGCAUCUGACUUCUAAUCAGGAGGUUCUGGGUUCGAGUCCCUGUCAGGACG
rfam:Nematocida sp. 1 ERTm2 unplaced genomic scaffold supercont1.1, whole genome shotgun sequence.